rnacentral:rRNA from 1 species
UACGUAGGGUGCGAGCGUUAAUCGGAAUUACUGGGCGUAAAGCGUGCGCAGGCGGUUCGUUAAGUUCGAUGUGAAAGCCCCGAGCUCAACCUGGGAACUGCAUUGGAAACUGGCGAGCUUGAAUGCGGCAGAGGGGGGUGGAAUUCCGCGUGUAGCAGUGAAAUGCGUAGAGAUGCGGAGGAACACCGAUGGCGAAGGCAGCCCCCUGGGCCGACAUUGACGCUCAGGCACGAAAGCGUGGGGAGCAAACAGG